rnacentral:sRNA from 1 species
AGAGGGAGACAGCCGUGACCCUGAGGGCAGUGACUGGCUCGCCGCGUCCCUGCAUCAGGCAUUCGCCCGGCUUUCUCGUGAUUGUUUCCGGGCACCCCUGGCCUCUCCCGACUUCUCCCCCUCGCGGGUCCCCAAGCCCCGCAAGUUUGCGACGAGCUGGUUCUCUACGGAGACAGCGAGCCCCCACCCCCGCUCUGCGGCUGGGUGUGUGUGGUGAGAGGAAGAGACGGGAGGAGGAGGCGAGGCCGACUCGCCAACGAGGAAAACGGGUUGGUUCCAUUUUCAGAUUUCAUCUUCCUGAACUGGAAAUGUCAAUGAGAGGAAAUUAACACCCCCAAGAGCUGCAGUGAGCAAAUGCGUUGAGCUUGGAUCAGGACAAUUCCAUUUGGGGACCAGAGAUGGACGGUCACUCAGCCUAUGGAGAUGAAGAAACUGAGGUUCAGAGAGGUUAAGAGACUCCACUGAGGUCACACAGCCGAUGACAGACAACCUUCUGUGCCUUCAUCAAGUUGGUUGUGUACACACCAUGCCCCUGGUGACAGCAUGGGAAAGAAAAAGCCCUAAUUAAGGAUCAUCAGAAACCACAGUUGGAGGAGGACGGCAGAGACAGCUUCCCUCCCCGCUAUACCAAGACCCUUCCCUCGAGGUCCUCGCUCCUGAGGGACCCUGGACUGUCACAGAGAUUAAUGACCCCUUAUCUUCUUUGGAUGGGAAAGGAAAUCACUGGUUAAAGCUUGAUCAAGAGACAUUAUCAGCUCUUUAAAGAUUGCAGAAAAAUAGGCUACUUUAUCUUCUGAAAAGGUAAAUAUAUGCAAGCAAAGCCAACAUGCCACGAAUGGCCUUGGUCUACCACACAGUGGUGUCUGGGACACAGUUGAGGGUCAUCCCCCAGCGGGAGUGAAGUCGAGCUUAGCGGCCCUUGUGUCCUCCCUUGGAAUUCCCGCCAUCCCUUCUGAUUGAGCCUCCACCUCUGGGAUUUUUCUUCCGUUUUUCUCCUCUCUUAGGAGGGAGUUCCUGCUACCCAUUGUGGGAGGCCACCAUCAGGACUGC